AUGAACGCUAGCUACAGGCUUAACACAUGCAAGUCGAGGGGCAGCAUGGUCUUAGCUUGCUAAGGCCGAUGGCGACCGGCGCACGGGUGAGUAACACGUAUCCAACCUGCCGUCUACUCUUGGACAGCCUUCUGAAAGGAAGAUUAAUACUAGAUGGCAUCAUGAGUCCGCAUGUUCACAUGAUUAAAGGUAUUCCGGUAGACGAUGGGGAUGCGUUCCAUUAGAUAGUAGGCGGGGUAACGGCCCACCUAGUCUUCGAUGGAUAGGGGUUCUGAGAGGAAGGUCCCCCACAUUGGAACUGAGACACGGUCCAAACUCCUACGGGAGGCAGCAGUGAGGAAUAUUGGUCAAUGGGCGAGAGCCUGAACCAGCCAAGUAGCGUGAAGGAUGACUGCCCUAUGGGUUGUAAACUUCUUUUAUAAAGGAAUAAAGUCGGGUAUGGAUACCCGUUUGCAUGUACUUUAUGAAUAAGGAUCGGCUAACUCCGUGCCAGCAGCCGCGGUAAUACGGAGGAUCCGAGCGUUAUCCGGAUUUAUUGGGUUUAAAGGGAGCGUAGAUGGAUGUUUAAGUCAGUUGUGAAAGUUUGCGGCUCAACCGUAAAAUUGCAGUUGAUACUGGAUAUCUUGAGUGCAGUUGAGGCAGGCGGAAUUCGUGGUGUAGCGGUGAAAUGCUUAGAUAUCACGAAGAACUCCGAUUGCGAAGGCAGCCUGCUAAGCUGCAACUGACAUUGAGGCUCGAAAGUGUGGGUAUCAAACAGGAUUAGAUACCCUGGUAGUCCACACGGUAAACGAUGAAUACUCGCUGUUUGCGAUAUACUGCAAGCGGCCAAGCGAAAGCGUUAAGUAUUCCACCUGGGGAGUACGCCGGCAACGGUGAAACUCAAAGGAAUUGACGGGGGCCCGCACAAGCGGAGGAACAUGUGGUUUAAUUCGAUGAUACGCGAGGAACCUUACCCGGGCUUAAAUUGCAGAUGAAUUACGGUGAAAGCCGUAAGCCGCAAGGCAUCUGUGAAGGUGCUGCAUGGUUGUCGUCAGCUCGUGCCGUGAGGUGUCGGCUUAAGUGCCAUAACGAGCGCAACCCUUGUUGUCAGUUACUAACAGGUUCCGCUGAGGACUCUGACAAGACUGCCAUCGUAAGAUGUGAGGAAGGUGGGGAUGACGUCAAAUCAGCACGGCCCUUACGUCCGGGGCUACACACGUGUUACAAUGGGGGGUACAGAGGGCCGCUACCACGCGAGUGGAUGCCAAUCCCCAAAACCUCUCUCAGUUCGGACUGGAGUCUGCAACCCGACUCCACGAAGCUGGAUUCGCUAGUAAUCGCGCAUCAGCCACGGCGCGGUGAAUACGUUCCCGGGCCUUGUACACACCGCCCGUCAAGCCAUGGGAGCCGGGGGUACCUGAAGUGCGUAACCGCGAGGAGCGCCCUAGGGUAAAACUGGUGACUGGGGCU
rnacentral:rRNA from 1 species